AGCGAACGCUGGCGGCAGGCCUAACACAUGCAAGUCGAGCGCGUGUCGCAAGACACGAGCGGCAGACGGGAGAGUAACACGUGGGAACGUACCCUUUGGUUCGGAACAACCCAGGGAAACUUGGGCUAAUACCGAAUAAGCCCUUACGGGGAAAGAUUUAUCGCCGAAGGAUCGGCCCGCGUCUGAUUAGCUAGUUGGUGGGGUAACGGCCCACCAAGGCGACGAUCAGUAGCUGGUCUGAGAGGANGAUCAGCCUCACUGGGACUGAGACACGGCCCAGACUCCUACGGGAGGCAGCAGUGGGGAAUAUUGGACAAUGGGCGCAAGCCUGAUCCAGCCAUGCCGCGUGGGUGAUGAAGGCCCUAGGGUUGUAAAGCCCUUUCGGCGGGGAAGAUAAUGACGGUACCCGCAGAAGAAGCCCCGGCUAACUUCGUGCCAGCAGCCGCAGUAAG
rnacentral:rRNA from 1 species